GAGGACCGAACCCAGGGCCUUGUGCUUGCUAGGCAAGCGCUCUACCAUUGAGCUAAAUCCCCAACCCCAAGGAAGUCAGUUUUUUAAUGAAGCUAUACUGUGGGAUGGUCUUCCUGUAUGCUGUGAAUAUGAUUUAUUACCAUUGCUUAAUAAAGAAGCUGUUUUGGCCUAUAACAAGGCAGGAUGGAGCCAGGCAGGAAAUCCAAGUAGAGAUACAGGAAGAAGGACAGAGUCAGAGCAGACUCCAUCGAGCCAAUGGGGCAACAAGAUAUACUAGAGAACAGGUUAAUACCAUGAAGCCAUGGCAAAAUACAGAUUAAUAGAAAUGGGUUAAUUUAAGUUGUAAGAGCUAGUUAGUAAUAAGCCUGAUCAUUGGGCCAAAUGGUUUGUAAUUCAUAUUAAGUCUGAGUGAUUAUUUUAAAAGCGGCUGCAGGACCAGGCAGGUCAAAAAAGCCUCUGUUUACAAAGCUGGCAUGUAAAAUGCAAGACAAAGGGGAGAAAUAAGAAGUCUUUCAUGAAAUCCUCAAGUCUGUAUUCCUGUCAGGAACCCUAACAACACAAGGAACAAGGCUACUUAAUCGUGUCAACCAACCGUGGAACCCACCCCUCCAGUUAUACAAACCAAAAAAAUGUUUAUUACGGUAUUUGUUCAUUUUGCAUUAAUUUGGCAAAAUACCUGACAGAAAUAAGUGAGAAUUUUGGUGCCUGGUCUCAGAGGGUUUCAGGCCAUGGUGAUAGGGAAGACUGAGGCUGUCACAUCUGAGGAAGCAGAGAGCAAGGCCAGAACCAGGGCAAGGCUAUCAUCUUCAAAGGGCUGUCCAUAUUGAUACACUUCUGCCAAAAGGUCAGGAGCAUUCUAGAAUAGCACCACCAUUGCAAACAUGACCCUGUGGGGAUAUUCAGAUUUAGGCCAUAACAGUUACUAAUCCCUGUUUGAGGUAGGCUUUCCAUUAUCACUUAUCCUGCCAUCCAUGUUAAAACCUCCAGGUAACUGUAUUCCCCUGAUUCAUUACCUGUCGAUAUCCAACAGGCACUAGAGACAAUGAUUAGUACUUAGGUUUCUGAUGCUGAUGUAGAGUCUGGCAACAGAUUUCUAAGAAGCAAGGUGGAUAAGGUCUGUCUGCUUGGUGGAACAUAAUGUCAGUGGUAAGAGACAGACAGUUGAAACUACUUACAAGAGCCAGAGAUUUAAAACAGAAAGAUGUGUACAGUAGAGUGAGUUAUACAGUGGCAUCUUUAAACACUAAUACUAAAGGAUGCUCAGGAUAGGACACUUAAGUUAGGAAUAUGAUGGUCAUGCAAAGAUGAAAGACCAGCACUCCCAAGUGAGGAAUCAGCAAAUGAUGAAGUCUUGAGGAGGUAAGGAGGUCAGUGCUCAACAUGCCCAACUCUUCACCCCACCCUCUACCCAUCAGCAUGCGCUACUGAUUUCGACAUCACGAUACACCCUAUCCAUCCCUAUCUCAGUGACACACUUCCCAGACACCAGUUGGUCCUUGAUCUGUGUGAUUAUAACCACCUCUGAACUAGUGUCCUUGGGCCCACCCAUAUGCCUAUUGUACUCUAUUCACUAAACCCUCUACAGAGUAGCUGGUGUGGGCUAACUUGUGCUUUCCCAAAUGCAUAUAAAAUUCUCCCUCCUGCACCUUGGAAAGUGGUCUUAUUGUAUAGAAGGUCUUCAUAGAGGUAGCCAAAUUAAAAGGAAGUGAUCAGGGUGGAUCUCAGCCACUUUAACAACACUUUGGGAUACAGACUCUCAAAGUAGGUGGCCUGGAAAAGAGACACAGAACAAAGCCACCUGUCAGCCAAAGAGAUAACCCAGGAACAGGCCCUCCCCUGCCAGUCCUCAGAACUCUAUCCCGCCAGAGUCUCGCUUUCCAUCCUCUACUCCCAAGAUGGCGACAGUAGACCUCUGUUCGAGCCCCAAUAUGUGGUGCUUGGUUACCUACCCCUAGCCAACAAAUACAGGAGGCACAGAUCCUUGUGUUACUUCUCUGCUGGAAAUGCUCCUGCCUCAGUAAAACCUCAAAGUCCUAUCUCUGGUCUGCAAUGCUGUGUUCUGAACCACCUCUAUAGCUGCAUGGGCAUGGAUCUGUCAAGACUCAGGUGCACAGCAUCCAAACGUUCAGGACUGAGCCACCCUCCACUCUUGAAUUUUUGUCCCAGGAGACUAUUCCCUAGGAAGAUGAAGGUGUAUGCAGGGCAUUCAUGAUAAGGGGUGAAUGUAUGCCACAAUAUGUGUGUAGGGGUCAGAGGACAACUUCAUGGAGGCAGGUCUCUCCCGUCUUCACAUGACUUUCAUGAACUUUUACUUGCUGAGCCAUCUUUCCAUCCUAGAACUAGAACUUAUGAAGCAGAGUAUCAUGUUUAUACCUUCAGGAUUCUUGAAAAAAAAAAAUCAAAAUUUCACUUGUUUAAAUCUAUUCUAGGUUUUAGUUUGCUUCAGCCAAACCUAGUACCAUUAUAAACCCCUUUGUUCUGCUUCUGUCUUAGUACAUUAUUUCUGUGUGACAUGAUGGCUAGAAUGGAGGAUCCUAGUGAGGAGCUUUAUUUUGCUCUUGCUGUCUUUCUACAGUCUGGACCAAUGCACAGCAGGUAAGCCCAUAAAUACUCCUUGACUAAACUGAAGAGGAAAUCUGCACUCUAGGAAGACAUGCUUUCCUGGGAGUUACUUAAGUGCUUGGCAAACAGCUUUAUCUUCUGGGAAGAAGUUCCUGGCAGAAGUUGACUCAGUCUGACAGGUCAAGGUCAUCAUGACCAACUUGUUAUGCUUAUGUUCUGCUCCUGUAACCAGACUAUUUUGCCUGCCAAAUCCCUGAUUGGGAAACUCCCUACCCCUGAGCUAUAAGAACAUUGUCUUCCUCAUAUACAAUGCUGAACUCUUGAAUCUCACCUUAUGGGGAGGCAGCCCAUGUAUACAAAUAAAAAAGCUUGCUUUAAUUAAUUGCUUGUUUUAAUUAA